ensembl:snRNA U6 U6 spliceosomal RNA
GCUCGCUUUGACAGCCCAUAAGCUAAGCUUGGCACAAUACAGAGUUCAGCACAACCCUUGUGCCAGGAUGAUACCCCAAAUGGUGAAGUGUUCCAUGUUCUU